GUGAGUCAUCGAAUCUUUGAACGCACCUUGCGCUCCUUGGUAUUCCGAGGAGCAUGCCUGUUUGAGUGUCAUUUAAUUCUCAACCAUCCCUCGAUUCGUUUCGAGGGUUUGGCUUGGAUUUUGGGGGCUGCCGGGCGACCCUAGGGUCUUCGGCUCUCCUUAAAAGCAUUAGCGAUGGCGGCGCGAUCUAACCCCCCCAUGCAUGAACGGCCUUCGACGUGAUAAUGAUCGUCGUGGCUGGAGUGUUGUUAGUGGGUGUCGUGAAAGUCGGCGCUUCUAAAGACCUCGUCGAAAGACGAAAACUCGAAACUUGACCUCAAAUCAGGUAG
rnacentral:rRNA from 1 species